ensembl:lncRNA
CCAGCUAGGCCUUCCAGGUCUCCCACAGGCCCGGGAGGAGGUCGCUGGGUACCAGGAAGGUGCAUGGCCUCCUCCCCUCCUUCCAGGGGAGACAUGGGCAGGGCUGGGGCAGCCUCGUGGACCUCAGACAAGUAUCCAUGUCCCUAAUGACCAGCCUUGGGGCAGGCCUCCGAGGUGUCAGUCAACUCCAGGGGACUCAACUGAGUGGUGGAAUUAGGAGAGGGGAUCAUCUGAGGGAAGCCAAGAUGGUGAGGAGGGGCAGAGGCCGCAUGGCUGGGGGGACGGAGGCUGGACUGUCUGGGUGACAGGGCAAGAUGAGAACCGCUGGCAUCUGCGAGGGCUGCAGGGAGAGACAGAAUCACAGGAGAGGGCGGAGGGACCAGAAGCCAAGUCCCGGAGGAAAGCUUUGUAGACGGCAAGCGCCACGUUCUGGACACUACUCUUGGAGUGAGAGGAUGGAUGUGCAGAAAGGACAGCGACGCUCCCGUCCCUUCAUCCCCUCCGCUGGCUGUGACCUGAUUAGGAAGCGGCCCCAGCUGUGCUGGCAGCCGCCACCACCUCCCAGGCCGUUCUCUGCUGAGCCCUGACAACGUUCAGGACUGGAUCAUCCUCUGCUGUGGGGGUCGUCCAGUGCAUCCCUGGGCUUCUCCCAACUAGAAACCCCUGACUUGUGACAAUGUGUCUCCAGACACUGCCGAAUGUCCCCUGGGGGCCUGGUCACCCCUAUCUGAGGACAGCAGCCCUUGAAAACAUCCUCUUGAAACAUGAAGUAUGCGAUGUCCCUCCUCUGCUCGGAACCCUCCAAAGGCUUCUCUCAGUAGCAUCCAGAGCCCUGUGUCUCUGACUUCAUCUCCCACCCUCGUUCUGUUCCCUUCCAGCCACCAUUGCCCUCCUGCUGCUUCUCAAACCCACCAGGCAUCCCCUUCCUCGGAUCUUUUCCUAAUUCCCUCUGGAAUGUCCUUCUCAGAUGUCCCCAUGCCCACGGCUCAUGGCUCCUCUCCGGCCCUCUGCUCUGUCGUCACCUCGGCAGAAAGACUUUCUUGAAUGUUCCAUCUCAACUAGCUCCCCUUUUCUUUCUUCCGGGGUGUGAAACCCCUGAAAGCAGAGGCUCUUCUUUCCCCGGCACGUAGUAGGUGCUCAGCGCCUGACUGAUGGAGAAACCACACUCCUGGCCGCCCUCCUGGUCCCCCAAGCUUUAGGCAUUUUCUGAGAAUGGCCUUGUGGGGAUGUUCGUAAAGCACUUAGCACGGUGCUGGUACCCAUCCCAGGGCUCAGGGGAUGGACCUGCAUCCUCGUUGCCUGUCAGCUCUCAGCUCCGUCUUCCCGUACAACCCUUGCCUCCCCCCCAAGACAAAAUCAGCCUCUGUUAGAAUCUCUCGUUAUGCCUUUAUUUCGUACAUAAGUUAUAGCUAUUUUUGUACAGUAUUUGAGCGUCCGUCUCACUGUGUCAGUCAGGAUGUGUUGGGCUCUGCUGCAGUGACAGACACUUCAUCGCAGUGGCUUCGCACACUGAAGCCUAGCCCUCAUGGUGCAUGAGGACACUCGCUGUCCUCCAUGUGGUGGCCCAGGAUCUGGGCUGGUUCCACCAGCUCAGUCCAUGGCCUGCAAGGAGAGCGGAGGGUCGUGCCUCGGCUCCUAAGAGCUUCAAGAAGGAGAGGACACCCUCGCUGCCGCUUAGCGCUUAGAGGCUGGAACCA